rnacentral:rRNA from 1 species
UACAGAGGUCUCAAGCGUUGUUCGGAUUCAUUGGGCGUAAAGGGUGCGUAGGUGGCGCUGUAAGUCAGGUGUGAAAUUUCGGAGCUUAACUCCGAAACUGCACUUGAUACUGCGGUGCUUGAGGACUGGAGAGGAGACUGGAAUUUACGGUGUAGCAGUGAAAUGCGUAGAUAUUGGGAAGAACACCUGAGGCGAAGGCGGGUUGCUGGGCUGACACUGACGCUGAGGCGCGAAAGCCAGGGGAGCGAACGGG